UGGGGAAUUUUGGACAAUGGGGGAAACCCUGAUCCAGCCAUGCCGCGUGAGUGAAGAAGGCCUUCGGGUUGUAAAGCUCUUUCGGACGGAAAGAAAUCGCUUCGGCCAAUACCCGGAGUGGAUGACGGUACCGUAAGAAGAAGCACCGGCUAACUACGUGCCAGCAGCCGCGGUAAUACGUAGGGUGCGAGCGUUAAUCGGAAUUACUGGGCGUAAAGCGUGUGCAGGCGGUUUGCUAAGACAGGUGUGAAAUCCCCGGGCUUAACCUGGGAACUGCGCUUGUGACUGGCAGGCUAGAGUACGGCAGAGGGGGGUGGAAUUCCACGUGUAGCAGUGAAAUGCGUAGAGAUGUGGAGGAACACCGAUGGCGAAGGCAGCCCCCUGGGCCUGUACUGACGCUCAUGCACGAAAGCGUGGGGAGCAAACAGG
rnacentral:rRNA from 2 species